UUCUUCUCUAUUCCUUCAUUGUUCUCAUCUCUGCUCCCCUCCUCCAUCCUCCCUCCCUCUGGCCCCACUCAGCUCCAGGCUGCCGCUUCCUGCCACAAUUCAGGGGGUAAGGCAGGACACCAACCCUCCACCAGUGCUUGUCAAUUCAGGACCAUGGGAAGGUUGGGAGGAGUGGAGACUGGUUGAGAAAGGUGAAGGGUCACAGGAUAUUGUCCUAAGUAACUCCCUGUGAGCUUACUUAAGGCUGUGUGACUUUAGUCCCUCAGUAUUAGCAUAGGUUUCUCAGAACUCCAAAUAAAUAUUCACUCUAAGUGAAAACAUUGCACUUGGAAUGCAAAUGAAGAUUGGAAGCAAGCCCCUUAGGACUCCUUUCCUGGCCAAGAAUGCCCCCAAGCUCUCUGUAUUCUGGAGGUGGUCAUUCAGGUGGUGCCAAGAGAGGCUGGCAUGGAGAGAGGCACCUGGGUCUUGCCACAGAGACAGGAGACAGCAGAACACGCUCCCAGAUGGCAGCUUGGACAUGGACACACACACACACACACACACACACACACACACACACACACACACACCAGGCUGCACUCAGCCACCCACUUCCUAUGCAGAUGGAGCACCCUUCCUCCCCCCACCCCUGGAGCAUUCCUCUCUGAGCACCUGCAGCAGCAGGGGCUGCAGCGUCUUCCCCAAUCUAGAAACCUGUUCAUUCAUUCAUGCAUUCAUUCAUUCACUUCAUAAAACUUGCUCUGCAACCCCUGCAUCUGUGCCAGCCUUUGUGCUGGAUGUUGGGUGACACAAGCGAACAGGAUUGUUACUAGGGAAGGGAGCUGAAAUAGAGGGGCUCCUGCAGGCCCUCCCCUGCAGCCUUGGUCUGGGGGCUGGGGGCCCAGCAGGCGAGGGGUUAAGUCGUUUGGCAUCCAGAGCUGGAGCCAUUAGGCCUCCUAAUUAUGAAAUUAUCGAGGUCCUCAGGUGACUGCUAAUUUCACACACACUGUUCCUCUCACGGCUAAUGAACGCCCGCAGAACCCACGCCUUGUCUUUCCUGCUGAACGGUGACCUGCAGUUAAUGAGCUCAGGAAGGCAGACAGGGCACCGGCUGGGUGGGUGGGGCGACAGGCCCAAGGAGGGGGCCACUAGCCCCUUGGGUCCCUUUUGCUCCCCUUGAUGGCUGCCAGCCUCAGUGAAGACUUCAGGGCCCAAGUCCAGCUUAGGGGUCCCUCAGGGCAGGCUAGGCUUGGGUGUGGGGAACAGGGGAGAGAUCCCAAUUGGGAGGGUGGGGGUGGAAGCUUGUGUCAUGAUACCAGAAUGAGCCUAGAACAGCAUGAGGCAGAGGCCAGAGUACACACUGGAGAAUCAUUUCUGCCUUCUUUUAGAACUGUGACAGAGACAUUUUAGGGAGAAGCAGGGGAUGUGGUAUACCUAUAAGUAUAAAGGAUAGAGAUUGGGGGGUGUGGGGCACAGUCACCCCUAAUGCUGGUGCAGGUGAAGACUUUGGAGUUGGUGGUAUUGAUGAUAGGAAUGCCACGUGACUGGGCUGAAGGGCUAUUGUGGAUGGGUGUGAUCUUAAAGUCUUGGUUUGCAAGUUUAAAAUGUAAUUUUUUAAAAAGCUACCCUCAAAAUAUGAACAAAUAGACAAGCAACAACAACAAGAACAAAACAGGCACAUGUGUUGCCUACAACCUCAGGUAGUGUAGCCUAGGUCUUGGGCUACAUUCUUCAUAUGGUGACACAGUGGGUCAUCUGGUAGAUAUAAAGGCCCUGUGACCUGUGCAAGUGGGAAUCCCACCUUUAUCUUUCCAGGCUGUCAUGGCAGCCAAGUAAGAAGCAGUGUGGCAGACAAGGGGAACAAGAAGGUGGGAAUCAGAGGGUACAAGGGACCUCUGGCCUUAGCUUUUUCCAUCCUGUGACCCUGAGCAGUCAUUUGUUCUUCUUUUCUGGGCAGGUUUCUUCGUGAGCACAUGGUGGGGUGAGAGCAGAGCUGUUUGCAUUGUGCUUACAGAGGAGGAUUGGGCUGUGGUCCCCAACAGGUUGCCCUCACAGCCCAAGGUAGGCAUCCCAGGCUGAUGAGUGAAGAGCUCCUUGUUCUAGGCUUUCAGGUCUAUGUGUGGCAUGGGUGACACGUGUUCAGGCUUCACCUCCCUCUGGAAUCAGAGGCUCAGCCAGUUGUAGGCUGUGGCCUUUGACAACAAACCCUGCUCUCUCUAGUUCUCAGCUACAUAUGUACCUCAGUUUCCUUGUGUAAUAGGUGGGGAAUAGAAGCAUAAACUCACUUUGAAAGUGGACUAAGAUCUCAGGGGUCCCAGCUAUGGCUCCAGAUCUGGCCAGCCUUCACCAUCAGUCUUCAAGUUCCCUCCUCAAGUGUCCAGUCAGCUCCCUUGACUGCAUGGUAAGCCCCCAGGAAGAUGUCUGCCCAGCGGAGGAAGAACAAACCGAAGAGGGACAGCCUGCCUCAGCUCUUCCUAUUUGGUCUGCAUGACAGAAUGGGAUACACACUUCUAUUACCUCCAUUUUUCUGAAUGAGAAAUCCAAAGAUGAGAGGUUAUGCAAUUAACCGAAGUCGAGGAGCCAGAAAAUGGCAGAGCAAAGCCUUGAGGUCCAGCCUGGUAUACCACCUGCCUCUGCAUGCCAUUCACAGAUACUUCAGACACACAGAGCUAGGCACACUGUGCCAUUGGGAUGCACAGGGAUCCAGACUUGCUCAUCACCCUGCAUGCAUGCCCUCCGUGUGCAACUAUACCCUCUCCUGGGCUUAAGUAGUAUGAGCCUGCAUACCCAUAGGUGCAGCUGGACUUCAUUAGUAGACUUGUAAGUAUUCUUGUGAACAUGCCUAUUGCACACCAAAUGUGUAUGUGCAUGGACACACAUACAUGGCUACAUGUGCACACAAACUCUUCUGCUCAGGAAAGUGUAAUGCAUUAGUCACGUUCACAUCCCCAUGUACACUCACACUGACAUACAAACUGAGGUACAUAAGAGAAGAGCUACCUGCUAAGGAGCAUUUAUGCACAUGUGCACAGGGGUCUUCUGGAUAGAGAAAGCCUGUGGACAGGAAAGAAGACAACUGGGUGUCCUCACGAUGCACACAGACACACACCCACACUUGUAUGCACGCACCAGAGCACCCAAGCUGGAAACCCUGGUGCAGCAAGGUGAACAGAUUCUUCGUACCAGGGCAGUGAUAGAUGGACCAACGUCCUAAGUGACUAUCAAAGUGUCGUGGCGUGUGCGGCACAAACACCAAUUAGUGGGGCCUUUGAAAGCAUCGGCUCGUUAGAGAGGAAGCCGAAGAGGCUGAAAUUGGCAUAAAACACGAAGCUAUUUAACUCUCACGGGGGCGGGUGAGGGGGGCAUGCACAGUGGAAAGGCCUCUGGGCAGAAUUCCUCCCUCCAUUCCGCACUUGUUCCUAGAGAAGGACCCUCACAAGGGGCCUUGGCAGGCAGCUUUGAUGCUCCUUGAAAAUGGGGGUGGGGAUAGCCUCCUGCCAGCGAGAGGCUGGCACUGAGUGAGCGGGGGCCGCGCCAACUGGCGAUCAAUUUCAUGCACAUCGUAAACCUAAGUGCUUUCUGGAGAGUCUGGCAGAUUGCACAUAAAGUCCCCCUUCUGUCCCUAGCACACGGGUGGGCGUGUGAGGCAAGGGCUCACCCUGGCUACAGGAGACCCAGGUAACCUGAUCCCCCAGUGGGAGGUAUCCUUGGGGACCUGGGGGAUUCUCUCAUCAAGGCCAGCACUGCUGGGAACAGCUGGAGCUGGGAGCCGUGCGUGCAUGAACCUGGACUCUGCCAGACUCUGCUGCUCAUUGGUGGAAUGACCUUGGGCAGUCGGCUUCGCUGACCCUUAGUCUCCUCAUUUGUGAAGUAGGAUGACAUGAGAUUAAUUGAGCUCUGUCUUUGCGAUGAGCUGUCACAGAGCUGAAGAAUCUCAAGGUCCACACACUCACAACACAGCCUUGGACUCUCCUCACCAGGAACACCCACUGCUAGCAGGUUUCUGGCCAUGGCGGUCUGUCUCUAGGACACACAAAUGAGACCAAUGCAUCGAGCAUCAAGGAGACAGAAAUGAAAUCCACAGGACAACACCACAUCACCCCCACCCAAACGGCGGAUGGAAGUCUGUCCAUACCGGUGCUGACAAGGACACAAAGCUGUCACAUGCAGCUGACUGUGGCUUAGUGGUGCCUUGUGGUAAAGGUGUGAAUGGCAUGUAAUGUGGGGCCAGCACCUCUGAGUCACGGUCUGUGUCCCCCAUGUGAGCACAUGACCAAAGGAUGCUCUGACCACGUACAACCAGCAGCAGAACCAGCUGGUGCAGCUGAUACUGUACUUCUGGAAUAGACUAAGGCAGCUCGAACCAGCCAGAUGACAAAGGGCACACUGAGUGUCAGAGGCAACGUCCAUCAAAGGCAUCUGACAAAGAAAGAUCUCGCCUGACAGCAGCUGGGAGGCUGAGGUAGACCCAAAGUGAGAAGGCCCUGUGGCCAGCUUCUGCUGUCAUUCAAGGUAAGAUGCAGAGUUUAUGGACGCCAUGGAGUGGAUACUCUCCUGUGGGAAGGGGUGUUUGACUGUGUGUGUGUGUGUGUGUGUGUGUGUGUGUGUGCUCACAUGUGCAUAUAUGUAAGCUAUUGGCCAUCCUCAGGCCAUGAACCGAUUCCUACAAAUGUCUCCUCUGCUCUUCUGCAUUACCUGGUCUCUCCAAAGCAAGCUGUACCCUGGUUGGGCCCAGUCACUCAUGUUUGUGACAACACAGUAUUCAAUCACACACCAGAUAAGAGGUGUGCUGAGAAUGGGGUAUCUGGAUGAUGAUAGCUUCAGUUGGAAGGUGGAGCCUGGGACUAGUGUGAUAUCAGGGUGAAGAAUCUCAACAAAUACUCGUGCUGACGUUGGGUCUGUGUGAGUCUGACCCUGACCUAUGUCUCCUCAGUCUGGUCUGGGUGCUCCAUUCCCAACAGACCACAACCGACUUCUUUCUCUCAGUGUUCUGUAGGGCCACGUCACACAUCCUUUCCUGAUUUCUACUUGAUUUAUUCUGUCCAUUCUUCAAGGCUCACUAUAAUUUUGUGUUUCAUCUUUAUUUCUGUUUCUGAGGGAGUGUCUCAUGUAACCAAGGGUAGCCUUAAACUCUUGGUAGAGAGCCAAGGCUGACCUUGAACCCCUGAUCCUCUUGCUUCCACCCUUUGAAGUGCUGGGAUUAUAGACAUGUGAUACCAAGCCAGGCUUCAUCACACAUGUUAUCUCCCCUAAAACGCACCCUCAGCUCUCUUCAACACAUGGGAUCUAAAUCACCUCUGAAUACUUGCAGGUUAUAGCCAUCUCUGACUUCUCUUACUUCUCACUGGGGACAGGCUAGUGGCUUAGGAUUCUAAUCCUAUCAGCCCAAUGUUAGGCUGAGCUAGGUUUGAAUCCAAGGCCCACAUCUUGUCUCAUACAGC